CAAGUCGAGCGAACCUUCUGGUUAGUGGCGGACGGGAGAGUAACGCGUGACAAUCUGCCCUCACGAGGGGGAUAACGGCUGGAAACGGCCGCUAAUACCCCAUAUGCCGAAAGGUGAAACGAAUUUCACCUGAGGAUGAGCUCGCGUCUGAUUAGCUAGUUGGUGGGGUAAGGGCCGACCCUGGCAUCUAUCACCACCUGGUCUGAGAGGAUGAUCGAGCACACUGGGACUGAAACACGGCCCAGACUCCUACGGGAGGCAGCCGUGGGGAAUUUUCCGCACUGGGCGAAAGCCUGACGGACCACCGCCGCGUGAGGGAUGAAGGCCUCUGGGCUGUAAACCUCUUUUAUCAAGGAAGAAGAUCUGACGGUACUUGAUGAAUAAGCCACGGCUAAUUCCGUGCCAGCAGCCGCGGUAAUACGGGAGUGGCAAGCGUUAUCCGGAAUUAUUGGGCGUAAAGCGUCCGCAGGCGGCCUUUUAAGUCUGUCGUCAAAGCGUGGAGCUUAACUCCAUUUAAGCUAUGGAAACUGGAAGGCUACAGUGUGGUACGCGCAGAGCGGAUUCCCGGUGUAGCGGCGAAAUGCCUAGAUAUCGUUGAGAACACCAUUGCCGAAAGCGCUCUGCUGAGACAUAACUGAUGCUCAUGGACGAGAGCCAGGGGAGCGAAAGGAAUUAGAUACCCCUGUAGUCCUGGUCUCAUACGAUGAACACUAGGUGUCGGGGGAAUCGACCCCCUCGGUGUCGUAUCCUACGCGUUGAGUGUCCCGGCUGGGGAGUACGCACGCAUGUGUGAAACUCAUAGGAACUGACGG
rnacentral:rRNA from 1 species